GACGAACGCUGGCGGCGUGCUUAACACAUGCAAGUCGAACGCGCCUGUCCUCUGGGUUUCUGGGGGGUGGGUGAGUGGCGAACGGGUGAGUAACACGUGAGUAACCUGCCCCCUUCUUCGGGAUAACGGUCUGAAAGGGCUGCUAAUACCGGGUAUUCACUGGUCUCCGCAUGGGGUCUGGUGGAAAGGUUUUUUUCUGGUGGGGGAUGGGCUCGCGGCCUAUCAGCUUGUUGGUGGGGUGAUGGCCCACCAAGGCUUUGACGGGUAGCCGGCCUGAGAGGGUGACCGGUCACAUUGGGACUGAGAUACGGCCCAGACUCCUACGGGAGGCAGCAGUGGGGAAUAAUGCACAAUGGGCGCAAGCCUGAUGCAGCGACGCCGCGUGAGGGAUGGAGGCCUUCGCGUUGUGAACCUCUUUCGCCCGUGGUCAAGCCGCGACGUGGGUCGUGGUGAGGGUAGUGGGUAAAGAAGCGCCGGCUAACUACGUG
rnacentral:rRNA from 1 species